UAGGGAAUCUUCCGCAAUGGACGCAAGUCUGACGGAGCAACGCCGCGUGAGUGAAGAAGGAUUUCGGUUCGUAAAACUCUGUUGUUAGAGAAGAACAGCGCAUAGAGUAACUGUUAUGCGUGUGACGGUAUCUAACCAGAAAGCCACGGCUAACUACGUGCCAGCAGCCGCGGUAAUACGUAGGUGGCAAGCGUUGUCCGGAUUUAUUGGGCGUAAAGCGAGCGCAGGCGGUCAAUUAAGUCUGAUGUGAAAGCCCCCGGCUCAACCGGGGAGGGUCAUUGUAAGCUGGUUGACUUGAGAGCAGAAUAGGAGAGUGGAAUUCCAUGUGUAGCGGUGAAAUGCGUAGAUAUAUGGAGGAACACCAGUGGCGAAGGCGACUCACUGGUCUGUAACUGACGCUGAGGCUCGAAAGCGUGGGUAGCAAACAGG
rnacentral:rRNA from 1 species